rnacentral:lncRNA from 1 species
GAAGCACUUCUGGAUGGAUGCCUGGCCGUAUUUCCCAGGCUUAAAGUUGGUUGAACGAGUCAAAUGGACAACAUUUGUCCACCGCUGCAGAGCGUCUAAUCGCAUGGGAUUGUACAUCCGCGUCCUGUUCCUCCUCAUUUCCGGCUUGGUUUGAAUCUGCGAAACAAUUUUGAUCCUCCUUGAAUCGUGUCCCUUACCGCCUUGGCUGUUUCGAAAACGUAAUUGGCAUACGCUUUCAUCACAACAGCUGUUGAGUUUGACUUGGCGUUGAUCAGAGUCGAGUACGGAAGUCCCAGUCCGGAUUGAUCCAACUAAUACAUUAAUGUCCUUCCAGUCGAGAUAAUUGUACACUUCAAAGAGAAAACUUUCUCCAAAGUUCUUCCGGAUGGAUAAGCUCACUGAUCUCCAAUCGAACUGGUCGGCCGUCCAGUUUGACACGGUCAUCGGCCACCGACCGUACGAAUCCAGAAUUUCAGUCAACGGUGUCAAUCCCAAAAUUUCAAUCGCAUCCGUGUCCAUACAAGCCAUGUACAUAUCUCGUGAAUUAUUCACCGGUUUCGAAUCCCGCAUCGCAUUCGGCUCGGUUAAAACUUCUGUUUAGUGUUUCGGCAUUUUAAUUAUUAAGCGAUAAGACGAGGAGAUCAGUUUUCUAAAAUACCUUUAAGUAAGUGAGUGACUUGUUCCCUUAAAAUAUUGAAAUGGCCCCAGCGGGAACUUGUUUCGGGAAUGCUGUUCUUACGAAGCCAACCUCCGCAGGUGAACUGGUAAAAAUCCUGACAAGGAUCGACGGAUGGAUCCAUGGCUUCCAUCAAAGCAGCGGCUGAACCGGCAUAAUAUUAAUUAAUUAUAAUAAAACAUUCAAUAGUUUGAAUAGAUUUACCUGAGACGACGCAUUCCUUGGUGUUGCAAAUGGGAUCUUUCUGUUUAAGGCCAUCGAUCGUUUGUUGAGCACUUCCCAGCUCUUCGAUCACAGCGUCCAAUUGUUUGAUGGAUUGGCUAACUGUUUUUAAGAAUUUUGACUGAGAUCAAACAAGAAAUUCUAACUUGAUUGAGUCACUGAACCUUGAUAGCUUAAAAGUCCAGUGGCCACCAUAAAAACUCCGGCAACAACGACAGCUAUCCGCACGAACCAGCGAGAUUUUAUCGGGCUGUGUGUUGUCCAAAAUCGAAAAUGAACUUUUGCAAUCCAUCUGUCAAACAAGUAAUUAUACGUACGUAUUAAUAUUCGCUGGGGAUAGAGUCUCUGUCGAUGUGACGACGAAUGAAUCCGCCAUUGUUCAAUCCUACAGAAGUGAAUAUCAAAAGUUGUAUUUUUCAAUUUUUAGCGAAUUGUGGUAGCUCGUCUCCGUUUUUUCUUCCUUGAAGAAUGACAAUUUUCUUGCAAGUUACUGAUUGUUAAAUACAGGGAAUACUGUACAUGAUGUACAAAGGGGUCUGCGGAGCAAGAUAUGUGUUUAUAUAAAGGAACGUGACCUGGAAUUAUUUCCCCUAGUAUCGACGGGCUACACCAAAUGAAGCACACUUAACGUCUCGAAUGACAAUCACCAGCAGUCUAAACUCUCUUCCGUGGAUUAUAUUUCUUUUGUUCAAGGGUCGAACAAUAUGUUCUUGGCGUCCGCAUCAGAUUGGAAAGUUCAUCUUUUAUGGCAAUCGUCAACAAUGAUCAUCAUUAUGUCGCUUUUCCUACACGAUUCUUUCAGAAUGUCGCCCUAUAGUUUGCUCGUUCAGUUCUACAUCAAAGAAAAUUAAAUAACGAGAAACGCUUCGUUCGUCAAUGAGCA